ACCUGCGAUAGUUCAGUUGGUAGAGCAUAUGAGACUCUUAAUCUUAGGUCAUGGGUUCAAGCCCCAUGUUGGGUG